GGCGAACGCUGGCGGCAUGCCUAAUACAUGCAAGUCGAACGCUGAAGCACCCUGCUUGCAGAGUGCGGAUGAGUGGCGAACGGGUGAGUAACACGUGGGGAAUCUGCCUAUAAGUGGGGGAUAACAUUCGGAAACGGAUGCUAAUACCGCAUAUAUUCUUGGACCGCCUGGUCCUUGAAAGAAAGACGGCUUUGCUGUCGCUUAUAGAUGAUCCCGCGGCGUAUUAGUUAGUUGGUGGGGUAAAGGCCUACCAAGACAAUGAUACGUAGCCGACCUGAGAGGGUGAUCGGCCACACUGGGACUGAGACACGGCCCAGACUCCUACGGGAGGCAGCAGUAGGGAAUCUUCCACAGUGGGCGAAAGCCUGAUGGAGCAAUGCCGCGUGAAUGAAGAAGGUCUUCGGAUCGUAAAGUUCUGUUAUUAGAGAAGAACAAGUCAAGGAAUAACUGUCUUGACUUUGACGGUACCUAACCAGAAAGUCACGGCUAACUACGUG
rnacentral:rRNA from 1 species